GCUUACGGCCAUACCAGCCUGGGUACGCCCGAUCUCGUCUGAUCUCGGAAGCGAAGCUAGGGUCGGGCCUGGUUAGUACUUGGAUGGGAGACCGCCUGGGAAUACCAGGUGCUGUAAGGA
rnacentral:rRNA from 1 species